GACGGGGGGGCAAGUGUUCUUCGGAAUGACUGGGCGUAAAGGGCACGUAGGCGGUGAAUCGGGUUGAAAGUGAAAGUCGCCAAAAAGUGGCGGAAUGCUCUCGAAACCAAUUCACUUGAGUGAGACAGAGGAGAGUGGAAUUUCGUGUGGAGCGGUGAAAUGCGUUGAUAUCAUCAGGAACACCGGUGGCGAAGGCGGCUUUCUGGGUCUUACCUGACGCUGAGGAACGAAAGCUAGGGGAGCGAACGGG
rnacentral:rRNA from 1 species